GGGUUUGAUGGCAUUUUCAGCAUCUAUUAAAAUAGAUUGAAGUGACUCAGAGCCACUCUACUGUAAAAUCUGUGCAGUUUUAAAAAGCAUGGGGCAGCCCUGUGUCCCCAAGUCAGAAAAGAGAACAAAGAACAGCUACAAUAAAUAAUAACCCUGUGAAAAAAAAAAUAAUAAAAAAAUAAUACCAGAAAGACUGAGAGCCUGCCACCAUAAACAUUAUUUUACAGGAAAUGACAGUUCCUUAAAAAUAUUGAGAAUAAUUCUCUGAGGGAAGGAGAAAAACAACAAACCCUUUUCCAUUUUAGAAUUACCCAGUGAUGUCAAGGCUAAACCAUUCCUGUCUUGUGAUCUUGACUAGAUGGUCUCUGAGUAAAAGUUCUUCAGGAAUAUAAAUGUAGCCCUUACUGUAACCCUGGAUUUUGCAGCCCUGGUACAAAUAUGGCUGGUACAGUAUGACUUCUGGUCACAUCAGCAUCUUUUGUGCCUUGUCACAGCAGCUUACUGUGGAUAGGCACAACUGCCCAGAGCUGUUCGUUUGGAGAUUGAACUCUGGCUUGAAGACACUCCUCCUUCCCAUGUGCUACCCAUGUGCCUUAAUGGUUGGCACCUGCACUUAGGUGGGCGUUAGCUGCAAAUCUGCAUUUGAGUACAGAAGAGGGGACACUCAGAGACACCUACCUGAAGCAAACCCUGUCCUGUCCAAUGCAAACGAGCCAGAUCAUGGCAGAGCUGACUGCAUGCUGGAAGUGAACAAAUAACAGCUUAAGUCAGAGCUGACUGCGAACCAAGCCGAAAAACCGACUGGCAUGGCUCCUGGUGUGCAGGCUGCUGCUCUGGCUGCUCCCAGGACUGAGCAUGAGAAGGGCUUCCAGAGCAGGUCCCCAAAGCAGGACUCUCAUAUCGUGAGAAUAACAAAUACAAAACAGCUUGUACUGCCAUGGUUGUCCUGAAAAGGCUUCAGGAAUUUUUCCUGUUUUGAUGGGACUUAAUGCCUUACCUCUUCUUUCUAUAGGAUCAGUGGACACAAUAUAUACUGGACUUCUUUUUUCCCCAACAUUCUUCUUGGCCACUGAGCUCUGAUAACUGCAGCUCGUUUUGCAUAUUGGAUGAAGCAGAGACAAUGUUUUCCCCAAAUUCCCCCGAGUUAUUGCUACAAGAAAAGCGAUGAGGUAAGGUGGAACAAAGCUUUCUGUGGCUGGAGUUUGUUCUUUUAUAAAUGUUUUUUUUUUUUUUUUUUUUUUUUUUUUUUUUUUUUCCCUGUCAUCAGCAAGGCCUCCUCAUCCUCCCCAGUGCUGAAAUGUUUUCACCUGAGGUGUGUGUCACACACCUGGUGGUGAGGGUCUUAGGUCCUGGGAGCUGAAAGGAAGGGAAAAAAGUGCUGCUCAGUGGUGAGAUCACUGCUGACACAUGUGCUGUGCGCAGGACGGUUCUCGGAGCCUGGCAAUUUCCUUUGCUUCGCAGAGGGCAAAAAAACCCUGUGUGGCCCACAAUGUGCUUUCACUAAGUGGUGUGUCCUCAGGGAAGGAGAAGAAGCUCUUCUGCUUUGCCUUGAAAUUGCUUUCCAUGUCACUUGCUAAACAGUUAUCAGUUAAAUAAACUCCUGGCUAUCCUCUAGACAUGAUUCUCUACUGGGAGUCGCUUUAUAUACAUUUCAUUCAACAGAUACUUUUUC